rnacentral:tRNA from 1 species
GUUUAAGUAGCUUAUCAAAAGCAUCAGUCUUGUAAGCUGAAGACUAGAGGCUAAACCCCUCUCUUAAACU